rnacentral:misc_RNA from 1 species
CAAGAGCAGUUCAGAUCACCUGGGGCACAUGCAUUAUGGCAGUUGCAUCCACAAGAAGGCUCUGUUAACUUAAAUGAUUUAACAUACUUGACACUAGCAAAGUAUGUGAAGUAUGCAGGUCCCUUCUCUUCAUCAACAUCAUUUACAAGUGACACAGGGAUACCUUCAGUCCCCGAAGUGAGGUCUGGCAGAAUUAAACCAAUCCUUGAAGAAAACCCUUCCCGCCACUGCUGUAUUGAUUUCCAAACAUCAAAAGCACCUGGCUGCCCAGGCAACCUAACCAACUUGUACUUAAAUAUAUUGCAACCAGAUUUCCCCUUUUCCACCCAUGACUCCUGGAUCCUAUAAAGCCCAUCAUACACAUAGACCUUUGCUGUUGGACUAAUGGCAUCCUUCAUACCCCGAAUGACUCUCACCUCAUUGUUACGAUGCAAGCUCCUCUCCAAUGCAAGGUUACCCCUCUCAAGUUUCUGAUCAGCUGCUUCCUUCUUGUUGCUGUUGACAUUACCACCCUGCCCACUAUAAAUUAAAACAUCCCUAUCCUCUGCCUCAUCCUCAUACCCACCAGAAGAAACAAUGCUUACAGCCAGUGGAUCUUCUUCUAUAUCAGCUCUCACAAUCAUGUAAUCAAUCCCAGCCAUGGUCUGGGAAUGCAACCCAACUAAACACAUCUCCAUUCGGAAAAAGAAAAUAUCCCCAACCUCAACUCCAGGAACCACUCCAACUCUCUUCCUCAGAUUCGUCCUCAACCCUUUGCUCAUCAUAAUAUUGGCUGCUUUCAAAUCUGCACGCCUAAUCCACCCAUUGGGCGAUUCCUUAGCAUCCUCUAAUUGGCUAAGCCUUCUCCUAAGGGCAUCAAACCUCAUUCGCACGUUAUUCACCACUUCCGUGUCACCAUCCUCCCUCUGAGCGGGAGUAAUCCCCAAAACGAAGUUAUUAUCAACAACAGCCAAGGUAAAAACCAGGUCUUUCUUGGCCUUCUUUUGGGAUGCGGAGGAGGAUCUUGGCCGCCCCACAGGACGCUUUGUUGGGGCACCUGUGGAACCAUCUGCGUUCCCAUCUGUAGCCAUCUUCCCAUUUGACUGUGGCGCCCGGAAAGAUCGAAGAGGCGCUGGAGUGUGGGUAUGCUGGUUGAGGUCAGGAGGAGUGGGUUGCGGUCCAUUAAAAGGGUAAAACGGGGAAAAACCAGACGGGAAAGGACCAGAAGGAGGCGCACAAACAAAAGGAGGAGCCUGAGGACUAGAUGGAAACACAGGAACCAAACUACGCAGCGGUUUGACAUCCAACACUCUUGAUUUGUCAAACGUAGCCGAAGGAGGUACAGAAUUGCUACCAGACCCUCCUUCCAUUUCCAAUUACUCGACCCCAAACAAAAAGGGGGAAAAGAAACAAUAAACAAACCAACCAACCCUCCAAUACCCAAAUGAAACCCGCCUUAUACUUUCUCCCUAAUCACUAUUUCAAUUCAAAUUCCAACAUCUAGAAAGCAAAAAAACCAUUUCUUUUUCCCUGAUUGGUUGACCGUUAGGGCUUUGCAAGAAGAAAGACAGAGCGAAGGAAGGUGAGAAAAGGGUUUACUUUUUGUUAGAAGAGAGAAUGAGAGCUUGGCGGUGGCUUCGGGGUCCGAAGACGAAGCACUGGUUUGGAACUCUGUGGGAGCCCUCUGCCUGAUGCGUCAUUACUCUAUGGCUCUGGCUUCGCUCCUUUAAGUAAAUUUU